rnacentral:rRNA from 1 species
UGGCCUUGUCAUAGUAAGAUAGUGAUAGAGAUAUAAGGGUACUAAGGGGCUGGAGCUUUCAGAC